UACGUAGGGUGCAAGCGUUGUCCGGAAUUAUUGGGUGUAAAGGGCUCGUAGGCGGUCCAUCGCGUCGGGAGUGAAAAGCUGGGGCUUAACCCCAGUCCUGCUUCCGAUACGGGUGGACUAGAGGUAGGUAGGGGAGAACGGAAUUCCUGGUGUAGCGGUGAAAUGCGCAGAUAUCAGGAGGAACACCGGUGGCGAAGGCGGUUCUCUGGGCCUUACCUGACGCUGAGGAGCGAAAGCAUGGGGAGCAAACAGG
rnacentral:rRNA from 1 species